GCGCUGACGAGUGGCGGACGGGUGAGUAACGCGUAGGAAUCUGCCUUAUAGUGGGGGACAACGUGGGGAAACCCACGCUAAUACCGCAUACGCCCUACGGGGGAAAGGCCGGGAUCUUCGGACCGGUCACUAUUGGAGGAGCCUGCGUUAGAUUAGCUUGUUGGUGGGGUAAAGGCCUACCAAGGCGACGAUCUAUAGCUGUUCUGAGAGGAAGAUCAGACACACUGGGACUGAGACACGGCCCAGACUCC
rnacentral:rRNA from 1 species